rnacentral:lncRNA from 1 species
AGAUGUACGCAGUCCAUAUCUCUACCUCUAAAGAAGUAGAAAGGUUGUUUCCGAUAGACCCUCAGCUCGAGACACGGAAUACUACACAAAUACAUAGUAAAGCAUGGAACAAGAUGGCAUAACAUAAAUACGACACCCACAAGUAAUAGAAAAUAGAGAAAAGUAAACAGAUUCGUAAUAAAGCAUGAAACAAGGUAUCAUAACAAG